UCCCCUGACCUUGGGAUCAUGACCUGAGCUGAAAUCAAGAGUCAGAUGCUCAACUGACUGACAUCCAGGUGUCUCUCAAAUUUCUUCUAUAUUCUUCCAGCCAAAGAAGCUGAAGAGUUUUCUUGACUCCCCCUUGAGCCUCCUAGUAACCUCUGCCCCGCUAGCCUUGCAGCCUCUCGACAGCACGUCCAUUACGGUUUUGUUCCAGCGCGAGGAACCCCGCCGAGGCGUUGUGCGUGUGGUGUUCAUUUCAGUUGUUCCGUCAGGCCCUUCAACCUCCGUGGUUUCGUGUGGUCCCAACACAGCCCCUGAGACUCUGCUGGUGCGACAGGAGCGCCUCCGUCUUACAGAGGAGAAAACCAGCCCAGAGAAGUCAGGUGGUUUAAGCAGGUCACAUCACAAACUGGGAAUCAGAAAGUAAAGAGCUUUGUACUUUCUGGAAAUCAUGCAAUUGUCCUGUUUGGCUACAGGACAAUUCCUUUUCCCAUUGACUAUUUACUACGUUCUCUGACGUGAAGACAAGCGUGUGCGCCCUGUCCAGGGUGAGCGCUAGAUGUUGAAGUCUAACUGAAGUUGCUGAGCCAACGGAAGCAUUAUUUUUUUUCCAUCCAGAAAGCCCGUCUGCCUUCUCUUAGUAGGUGUCCCUGGGCUUGCAGCCACUGUAAACUGCCAGGCGGACAGUGGGUGCCUGGUCCCCACGCGGGAGAGGGACGCUUUGCGGGCUCCCUGUGAGUCAUCCGUGGCCCCGCCGGAGGGAGCAGCGUGUAAGGAGCACGACGAGGGAGGAAGAGAGCAGGGUGGCGUCUGCGGGAGCGGUUUCGGCUCCUAAGAUGCAGGCCUGCGUGGAGACGGCCUGAGUCGGGUGAAGGUGGACACUAGAGGUGAGGGGGACCCGGAAUCACAAGACUGGAUGGGCAGCAGCUUGCGGCUGAAAUCGAGAAGAUGGAGAGGAAGCCCAGGGGCGAGUGCUCUCAGAGUGAGCUGGGCUGGGACAUCACAUGUGCUGCCCGGGAUGCCCUGGGCUUGUGGCUGGCAGCCCAACUCCUGUACUUGGUGAAGGGGGAUCACGAGCCACGAAGGAUGGCGACAAGAAGUGAGGAUCAUGUGCUCUGGAGGGAGAAGUGAGAAGAGCCUCUGUGUGAUUCUAGCCCACAGAAGUCAAAACAGAAAAGCAGGCGCCUGGGUGGCGGCCCAGUCAGGUGUUGUGCUAAGGAUACAGCGGUGUCAAAGCGGACCUGUGGUCUUUGCCCUCGAGCGAAUACAGAAGUGUGAGCUGGCGCGUGGACACAGCACGCUCCUCAGCCUUCACAGUUCACACGUCUUGCUCCUCUGCCCGGGACACUUGCCCUCUUCUGCAGCUGUAAACCGCUACCCGCUCUGUGAAACAUUUCCCGGACUUUUUCAACCCCCCAACUUGCAGAAUGAGGAGCUCCUUUCUCUACAUUUCAGACUCCCCUGUGUGUCCUUUAUACAGAUGGCCCUAACUACAGGGACAGUCUGUGUGUCUUCUUACAGACUAGACUUCGGGGGCAGUGGAUCCUGGGAGGCAAGGGAAUUUUUUCUUUAUUCUCAUAUCCUCAGAGCCUAGUACAGGAAUAAAUGAAUAUAUGUUUUGCUAAGAUAUGUCACAUUAGGGUAUGUGAAGAAGACCGCAGCAUAAAACCACUGUCCCCACCAGGAUGGAGCCCAUUCUGCCACAGAACGCCUUCCCCAGGGUCACGUGGAGAACACUGAGGUUGGACGUGGGGGAGAGGUUCAGUCCCAUGUGUCAACAGCAAGAAAACUGAAUCCUGAAAACUUAUGACCUACAGAGGCUUAAACUCUGUCUGGAUCCUAGGUCAACACCACCGAGAACAGGGUACAGAAGGGACUGUAUGUUUUAUGUCCAAGUGAAUGAGACUAAAUCCCCUCUAUGCUGAUUCCAUUUUGAAAUCAAACUAAUAAUAUAUAGGAUUUAUAAUCUGAAUGACACAGAUUUUAGCUAUUAUAUUAUAUAGUAAAUGUUCAAUACACAUUUGCAAAAUAAAUGAAAAUAAGAUUUGGACUGAUCUUCAUAUACCACUAAGGAAUCUAAGCACAAUGGAAGAAUUUCUGAUCAACAGAGGGCUACUUAACAAAUGUUAGUAUAAAAGAGAUUAUACUCUUUAGCGUGUGAUACGCUUCCACGAGGGAACAAAACACGAAGGUGCUGUCUGCUAAGUGGGGGGCCGGGAGCGGGCACCCCGGAAGUGACCGGCUCCACUCAACAAGUCCAUCCUGUCCUGUUGGAAGCACGAGGAAGGAGAGUCCACCUAUUUCCAAUGCGUAGGAUCCUACCCAGAUUCUUUCUGGUUGUCACACUAUGAAUGAAGACGGGGAGAUGGAGGGUUAACAGGAAUUGUCACGGUCUUUACUCAGGGGGUUUGCAGUAGACAUUAGAAUUCUGCAGUGUCUAAAGCAGCCAUAAAGAGUCAAGUGAGGGCCAAGAGUGUCUAAUACAGGUCAGUGAGUAACUGACAGUGGCUUCUAGAAUGAGGAAGAGGACGGAGUGGUGGUUCUUUUCUCAAAUCCCUCACAAUCACUGCAGAGUCCUCUCUCUCAGAACAUAAGCCCAAAUUCUAAGAAUAAAUGAAAUCUUUUGUUCAUGAAGUCCCACCUCUGAGGCAGGGAAGUUGCACAGCAGCUCAAUGCUGCCACUGAUCUCUGGUUGGCAGUUACAGACCGAGGAGGCCUGACAAACACUGUUCUUUUAAAUGAAAACUGAAAAAAAGAAUUGCUUCUAUAUCCACUGAUUUUAAAGUCGACAAUAUUAUGAUAGGAAAAGGUAGGAUAAAAUAGGCAGAGAGGGAAAGGUUAGGACCUGGAGUCUCUGCAUCCAGAAAAACAUAUAUGUUUUGGAACAAUGCUGGGAGCAUGUGACUACAGCAAACCCCCAUAGGCGUAAGGUCCCACUUAGGAAUGUAACAGACCCCACCCCGCCGCUCCCCCUUGUGUUUCCCUCAGGGAUUUGACAGUCAAAAUACCUAACUAAAAAAGCAACCCAUAAAACCUGUGUUACAGGAGGGGCAGUGUGACCAGUCUGACUCCUCAUACAGUGGAACUGAGUCAACCAGGAAUGGACUACCCAGCACCUAGACUGUCCAGCCAAUAAGGGUGGGGCCUGAGAAGAACAGGAGGGAAGGGAAGGGGGGAAGCCACCAGAGAAACUUCUACACAAAGGCCCUUGCCUAUAGUCACAGGCUUUCGAAUGUCCCCUCUGUCAAGAGAGCUUCCAUACUCUUCUUCCUUUCUGCUAUUACACUCAAAUAAACUUUUGCCUACAGCUCA